CACACGUAUCACUCUAUACCAGGAACUCGACCUCAUCACAGGGGCCCGGCCGUGCUGACCGGCCUCUGGAAAAACAUUGCAUCGGGUGGCCCUAACAGCAUGGGCCACCCGAUGGUCUCUUGAACGUGCUGCCUUGGCGGUUGCAGCGUGCAGUCCUGGGCAGCAUCACAUGGAUGGUGUACACCCCGGUCGCAAGGGACCACAGGGCAGCCGGGCCCCC